AUUGCCUCAGUAACGGCGAGUGAAGCGGCAAGAGCUCAAAUUUGAAAGCUGGCUCCUUCGGAGUCCGCAUUGUAAUUUGCAGAGGAUGCUUUGGGUGCGGCCCCCGUCUAAGUGCCCUGGAACGGGCCGUCAGAGAGGGUGAGAAUCCCGUCUUGGGCGGGGUGUCCGUGCCCGUGUAAAGCUCCUUCGACGAGUCGAGUUGUUUGGGAAUGCAGCUCUAAAUGGGUGGUAAAUUUCAUCUAAAGCUAAAUACUGGCCGGAGACCGAUAGCGCACAAGUAGAGUGAUCGAAAGAUGAAAAGCACUUUGAAAAGAGAGUUAAACAGCACGUGAAAUUGUUGAAAGGGAAGCGCUUGCGACCAGACUCGCCCGCGGGGUUCAGCCGGCAUUCGUGCCGGUGUACUUCCCCGUGGGCGGGCCAGCGUCGGUUUGGGCGGCCGGUCAAAGGCCCCUGGAAUGUAGUGCCCUCCGGGGCACCUUAUAGCCAGGGGUGCAAUGCGGCCAGCCUGGACCGAGGAACGCGCUUCGGCACGGACGCUGGCA
rnacentral:rRNA from 5 species